CCCUCCUUUGCUCAAGUCAUUGCUCCUCUUUUGAAGGGAGAAUGUUUUUUUCAUUUAUAAUGCUUGCUCUCACCCUCUGUAUUUGUAAUCUCUCCUUGUCCCAUCUAUUUUUCUCUUUCUUUUUCAUUUAUUCUUCUUCACAGGCUUCUUCGGUGGCUGAGAGAUCAACUAGAGGGGUCUUCAACUUCAUCUCCAUUUUGGCUGAUUAUUUCUGACCUACAACUUCGCUACUUUUGCUUUAAAGAUGCUUAUUUCAUGAUUCUAUAUAUUUGGAGCGAGACUAGAGAUUUACAUUUGGUAUGCAAUUACAUCAGCGAUCACUAAAAUUUUACAGCAGAAGGAUCCUCAAUCUUGGGUGGGAUCUUGGCUUGCCAAUUGCCAACACAUUCCAACUCUAUCAAAACUAUGGUGGUCCAUAAAUUCAGAAUUGUGAUCGUUAUGUUUCAAAUGAUGUGGAGGCAUUAGUAGGUUUAGAUAUUAGGCCGUAAAUUCAAUAAACUGUGGCUAGCAUUUUCCUUUUCUUUCUAGAAAAAACUAUUUAUGGAGACUAAUCGAGAUUUUCAGGGGUUUCAUAUGUAUACUUUUUUUAAUGUGUUUGUGAGACAGGUUUGAUCAAUAUAAAUCUGUAAAGAAUUCUUUCAUUUCAA